CCAAGCUACAAAGAGCCAACGGUGAAUGCCUUGGCGCCUAUGACCGAAGAAGGACGUGGAUGACUGCGAAAAGUUACGGUGAGCCGUCUAUCAGGCUUCGACCCGUAAAUGUCCGAAUGAGGAAACUCAACACUCGUUAUUGAGUGUUAUUCCGGUGUGAAUACAUAGCACCGGUAAAGGGAACCGGGGGAAUUGAAACAUCUCAGUACCCCGAGGAAAGAAAAGCAAACGCGACUCCCCUAGUAGUGGCGAGCGAAAAGGGAACAGGCUAAACCGCAGCAACGUGACACCCUGAAGGGGUUGUUGAUGCGGUGUCGUGGGAUAUCGACGUACGGCUUCAGACGUACGACGGAGUUAACAACGUGCUGCGUAGUAGAACCAUCUGGAAAUAUGGACCACAGGGGGUAAUAGUCCCGUACACGAAACGCACGCACGCUCCGCGAUCGAUCCCAAGUAAUGGCGGGGCCGAGCAACCUGCCAUGAAUCCGUGGGGACCACCCCAUAAGCCUCAGUAUCAAUAGGCGACCGAUAGUGAACCAGUACCGCGAGGGAAAGGUGAAAAGAACCCCGGGAGGGGAGUGAAAUAGUACCUGAAACCGUUGGUUUACAAGCAGUCAGAGAGUCGUUGCACCGCUUGCGGUGCAGCCUCGAUGGCGUGCCUUUUGAAGAAUGAGCCUACGAGUUGCGGUAUGUGGCGAGGUUAACCCGAGAGGGGUAGCCGAAGCGAAAGCGAGUCUGAACAGGGCGUUCAGUCGCAUGCUGUAGACCCGAAGCCAAGUGAUCUUGCCAUGGUCAGGUUGAAGCGGGGGUAAGACCCCGUGGAGGACCGAACAGGUACCAGUUGAAAAUGGUUCUGAUGAACUGUGGUAAGGGGCGAAAGACCAAUCAAACUUGGCGAUAGCUGGUUCUCCUCGAAAUGCAUUUAGGUGCAGCGUUGCACGUUCAAUUCCGGAGGUAGAGCACUGGAUGGGCUAGAGGUCCAACAAGAUUAUCGACCCCAGCCAAACUCCGAAUUACGGAAUUCCAGAGUGCAGCAGUGAGACCAUGGGGGAUGAGCUUCAUUGGUCGAAAGGGAAACAGCCCAGAUCAUCAGCUAAGGCCCCAAAUUCAGGACUAAGUGUAAAACGAUGUGAAAUUGCUUAGACAGCCAGGAGGUUGGCUUAGAAGCAGCCACCCUUGAAAGAGUGCGUAACAGCUCACUGGUCGAGUGAUUUUGCGCGGACAAUGUAACGGGGCUCAAGUCCUGAGCCGAAGCUAUGGAUUGCAUCGACGUUCGCGUCGUUGCAGUGGUAGAGGAGCGUUGAUGGAGUGCCGAAGCGACGAGGUAACUCGGCGUGGAGUUCCAUCAAGUGAGAAUGUAGGUAUGAGUAGCGAGCCCAAGGUUUCCUGGGGAAGGCUAAUCCUCCCAGGGUAAGUCGGGAGCUAAGGAGAGGCCGCGAGGCGUAUCCGAUGCACAACUGGUUGAUAUUCCAGUACCGCCGUGUACACGACAAGCCCAAAUUCGAUAAAGCAGAGGCUGCCUUCGGGCGAAUCUGCGUAGUCGGACGCGGGUAACUAAAGCGGGACACAGCAGGAUAGGUGAUCCGGAUUAAUGGAUUUCCGGGUAAGCGAGAAGGUGGGUUGCGAUGAGAGUCGCGGCCGUAACACUGAGACGCAAUACCGACCUCGUUUGAGGGAAGUCACUGAUUCCACACUGUCGAGAAAAGCGCAGUAGUGAGUUGACACGGCGCCCGUACCCCAAACCGACUCAGGUGGGCGCGUAGAGAAUACGAAGGCGAUCGG
rnacentral:rRNA from 1 species